rnacentral:rRNA from 1 species
GUAUAUUGGACAAUGGGGGGAACCCUGAUCCAGCCAUGCCGCGUGUGUGACGAAGGCCUUUUGGUUGUAAAGACCUUUAAGCGAGGCGGAGGCUACUCUAGUUAAUACCUAGGUAUAGUGGACGUUGCUCGACGAAUAACCACCGGCUAACCAUGGUCCCGCCGCCGCGGUAAUACAGAGGGUGCAAGCGUUAAUCGGACUUACUGGACGUAAGGGGAGCGUAGGUGGCAAAUUAAGUCAAAGGUGAAAUCCCAGAGCUUAGCAUGGGAAUGGCAUUCGAUACUGGUAGGCUAGAGGAUGGGAGAGGAUGGGAGAAUUGGAGGUGUAGCGGUGAAAUGCGUAGAGAGAUGGAGGAAUACCGAUGGCGAAGGCAGAGAUCUGGCCUAAUACUGACACUGAGGUGCGAAAGCAUGGGGAGCAAACAG